UCUCUGACUCUUCUGACUUACAGGGAUUCCCACUUCGUGAUGCACUGGCAGUUCUGUUUAAGCAGCUUCUUUACCCACUGAACCACCAGGGAAGCCCGACCACUUUCCAAUGCAGAGGACAGGCUGGAUCCCACAUGCCUCAGGGCAAUUAUGUCUCAACUUGAGAGCCUGCAAAUGGUAACUCUUUAGCCUUCAAGCCUUAGAGCUCAUGCUCCAUAACAAAAGAAGCCCCCAGGCUGCAACUAGAGAAAGCCUGAACCUCAACAAAGACCUAGAGGAAC
ensembl:lncRNA